GACCUCAAAUCAGGUAGGACUACCCGCUGAACUUAAGCAUAUCAAUAAGCGGAGGAAAAGAAACUAACAAGGAUUCCCCUAGUAACUGCGAGUGAAGCGGGAAAAGCUCAAAUUUAAAAUCUGGCAGUUCUGCUGUCCGAGUUGUAGUCUGGAGAAGUGUUUUCCGUGCUGGACCGUGUAAAAGUCUCUUGGAACAGAGCAUCAUAGAGGGUGAGAAUCCCGUCUUUGACAUGGCCCACCACUGCUUUGUGAUGCACUCUCAAAGAGUCGCGUUGUUUGGGAAUGCAGCGCACAAUGGGUGGUAUAUUCCAUCUAAAGCUAAAUAUUGGCGAGAGACCGAUAGCGAACAAGUACCGUGAGGGAAAGAUGAAAAGCACUUUGGAAAGAGAGUUAAACAGUACGUGAAAUUGUUGAAAGGGAAACGCUUGAAGUCAGUCGCAUCUGUUGGGACUCAGCCUUGCAUUUUUGCUUGGUGUAUUUCCUGGUGGAUGGGCCAGCAUCGAUUUUGACCGUUGGAUAAAGUUCGAGGGAAUGUGGCACCUUUGGGUGUGUUAUAGCCCUUGUCCGCAUGCAACGGUUGGGAUCGAGGUUUGCAGCACGCCUUUUUGGCCGGG
rnacentral:rRNA from 2 species